rnacentral:rRNA from 1 species
GAGGCAGCAGUAGGGAAUCUUCCACAAUGGGCGAAAGCCUGAUGGAGCAACGCCGCGUGAGUGAAGAAGGUUUUCGGAUCGUAAAACUCUGUUGUAAGGGAAGAACAAGUACAGUAGUAACUGGCUGUACCUUGACGGUACCUUAUUAGAAAGCCACGGCUAACUACGUGCCAGCAGCCGCGGUAAUACGUAGGUGGCAAGCGUUGUCCGGAAUUAUUGGGCGUAAAGCGCGCGCAGGUGGUCCUUUAAGUCUGAUGUGAAAGCCCACGGCUCAACCGUGGAGGGUCAUUGGAAACUGGGGGACUUGAGUGCAGAAGAGGAAAGUGGAAUUCCAAGUGUAGCGGUGAAAUGCGUAGAGAUUUGGAGGAACACCAGUGGCGAAGGCGACUUUCUGGUCUGUAACUGACACUGAGGCGCGAAAGCGUGGGGAGCAAACGGGAUUAGAUACCCUGGUAGUCCACGCCGUAAACGAUGAGUGCUAAGUGUUAGGGGGUUUCCGCCCCUUAGUGCUGCAGCUAACGCAUUAAGCACUCCGCCUGGGGA